rnacentral:rRNA from 1 species
AUCUAAGCCGACCCCUAUUAAAGAGGUGAAGAGGCCGGCUAGGGUUAGGAGGUUGUUUCUUAGAGAAGAAUUAGGAGUUGUAAAGGAAUAGGAGUCUUGAGUUGAAGUCCUAUUAGGAGAUGGUUAGAAGUAGGAGUCCUAUUAGGAGUUAGGGUUUAGAAACCCUAUAACUAGCCAUGUAUUCCUCCUCUUUUGAUAAACAAUAGAUGAAUCUUUUCUGCACCCUUUGAGCAGCAACUUAGAGGGAGGAACCCCUAUAGAGUUCCAAGGAGGCCGAUCCCCAAAAGAGAUCAACCCCAAGAUUAGAAUCUGCACGGGUUCUAACAAUCGGCCAAUGGGCUCCUUAUCUGACCAGUCUUGAAACACGGACCAAGGAGUCUGACAUGCGUGCGAUUCGACGGGUGCGGAAACCCGGAAGGCACAAGGAAGCUAACGGGCGGGAACCCUCUUGAGGGGUUGCACCGCCGGCCGACCCCGAUCUUCUUUGAAGGGUUCGAGUAGGACCAUGCAUGUCGGGACCCGAAAGAUGGUGAACUAUGCCUGAGCGAGGCAAAGCCAGAGGAAACUCUGGUGGAGGCCCGAAGCGAUACUGACGUGCAAAUCGUUUGUCUGACUUGGGUAUAGGGGCGAAAGACUAAUCGAACCAUCUAGUAGCUAGUUCCCUCCGAAGUUUCCCUCAGGAUAGUUGGAGCCCACGUGCGAGUUCUAUCAAGUAAAGCCAAUGAUUAGAGGCAUCGGGGGCGCAACGCCCUCGACCUAUUCUCAAACAUUAAAUAGGUAGGAAGGCACGGCUGCUUCGUUGAGCUAUGUCCCGGAAUCGAGAGCUCCAAGGGGGCCAUUUUUGUUAAGCAGAAUGGGCGAUGUGGGAUGAACCGGAAGCCGGGUUACGGUGCCCAACUACGCGCUAACCCAGACACCACAAAGGGUGUUGAUCGAUUAAGACAACAGGACGGUGGUCAUGGAAGUCCAAAUCCGCUAAGGAGUGUGUAACAACUCUCCUGCUGAAUCAACAAGCAUCGAAAACGGAUGGCGCUGAAGCGCGCGACCCACACCCAGCCAUCGGGGCGAGUGCCAAGCCCCGAUGAGUAGGAGGGUGUGGCGGUCGCCGCAAAACCCAGGGCGCAAGCCCAGGCGGAGCGACCGUCGGUGCAAAUCUUGGUAGUAGUAGCAAAUAUUCAAAUGAGAACUUUGAAGGCCGAAGAGGGGAACGGUUCCAUGUGAACGACAUUUGCAUAUGGGUUAGCCGAUCCUAAGGGACGGGAGAAGCCCGUCCGAGAGCUUGUCUCCGUGUGAGCUCCGAAAGGGAAUCAGGUUAAAAUUCCCGGGCCGGGACGCUGCGGCGGACGGCAACGUUAGGAAGUCCGGAGACGUCGGCGGGGGCCCCGGGAAGAGUUAUCUUUUCUUCUUAAUGGCCAGCCCACCCUGGAAAUAGCUUAGUCGGAGGUAGGGUCCAACGGUCGGAAGAGCGCCACACGUCGUGCGGCGUCCGGUGCGGCCCCGGCAGACCUUGAAAAUCCGGAGGAUCGAGUGCCGUCCGCACCCGAUCACACUCAUAACCGCAUCAGGUCUCCAAGGUGAAUAGCCUCUAGCCCAUGGAACAAUGUAGGUAAGGGAAGACGGCAAAACAGAUCCGUAACUUGGGGAAAAGGAUUGGCUCUGAGGGCUGGGCACGGGGGUCCCGGCCCCGAACCUGUCGGCUGUCGACAGACUGCUCGAGCUACUCUCGCAGCGAGAGCGGGUCGCUGCGUGCCGGCCAGGGGACGGACUGAGAACGGCCCCCUCGGGGGCCUUCCCUGGGCAUCGAACAGCCGACUCAGAAUGGGUUCGUACAAGGGGAAUCCGACUAUUUAAUUAAAACAAAGCAUUGCGAUGGUCCCCGCGGAUGCUCACGCAAUGUGAUUUCUGCCCAGUGCUCUGAAUGUCAAAGUGAAGAAAUUCAACCAAGCAUGGGUAAACGGCGGGAGUAACUAUGACUCUCUUAAGGUAGCCAAUUGACUCAUCAUCUAAUUAGUGACGCGCAGGAUUAACGAGAUUUCCACUAUCCCUAUCUACUAUCCAGUGAAACCAUAGCCAAGGGAACGGGCUUGGCAGAAUCAGCAGGGAAAGAAGACCCUGUUGAGCUUGACUCUAGUCUGACUUUGUGAAAUGACUUGAGAGGUGUUGGAUAAGUGGGAGCUGGUUCGCCGGCGGAAGUGAAAUACCACUACUUUUAACGUUAUUUUACUUAUUCCGUGAGUCGGAGGCGGGGCCCGGCCCCUCCUUUUGGACCCAAGGCCUGCCUAGCGGGCUGCUCCGAGCGGAAGAUAUUGUCAGGUAGGGAGUUUGUCUGGGGCGGCACAUCUGUUAAAAGAUAACGCAGGUGUCCUAAGAUGAGCUCAACGAGAACAUAAAUAUUGUGUGGAACAAAUGGGUAAAAGCUCGUUUGAUUGUGAUUUCCAGUACGAAUAUGAACCAUGAAAGCGUGGCCUAUUGAUCCGUGAGACCCUCGGAAUUCGAAGCUAGAGGUGUCAUAAAAGUUACCACAGGGAUAAAUGGCUUGUGGCAGCUAAGCGUUCAUAGCGAAGUUGCUUUUUGAUCCUUCGAUGUCGGCUCUUCCUAUCAUUGUGAAGCAGAAUUCACCAAGUGUUGGAUUGUUCACCCACCAAUAGGGAACGUGAGCUGGGUUUAGAGCAUCGUGAGAUAGGUUAACUUUACCCUACUGAUGAUCGUGCCGCGAUAGUAAUUCAACCUAGUACGAGAGGAACCAUUGAUUCACACAAUUGGUCAUCGCGCUUGGUUCAAAAGCCAGUGGCGCGAAGCUACCGUGUGUCAGAUUAUGACUGAAUGCCUCUAAGUCAGAAUCCUAGCAAGCAACCAGCGCUCUCGCCCAUCGUUCGCCUCCCGACCGACAAUAGGGGCCUUUGGCCCCCAUGCGCUCAUGUCGCUGGUGUAGCCCCCGUGGUGGUAUAGCCAUUGGUGGCCAUCAGGAAGUGAAAUUCUGCACGGACGAUGGGUCGAAUCCUUUGCA